GGAGAAAAAUCUCUCCGUGAUUAUUCUUCCAAUGUAGUUCUUAUUGAUCCAUUAGCAAAUUUAGCAGCUGUUGAAGACUUCCUUUGGCCUCGAGUUCAGCGAUGUGAAUCUGGUCAAAAGCCCUUGGCAUCUAUGGGAAAUUCUGAAUCUGGAACCACCCCUACUGGAGCUGGUGGAUCAUCUCCAUCUAUAUCCACUCCAUCAACCACUUGUCGUCAUUCUUCAAGAUCCAGAUCAUCUGCUAAUAUAGGAGAUGCAGCUAGAAAGGAAUCGUCACAGGAGAAAAGCGCAAGCUCCUCUAAGGGAAAGGGGAAAGCUGUUUUGAAGAAUGCCCAGGAGGAGGAAAAAGGACCCCAAACCAGAAAUGCUGCCCGUAGAAG
rnacentral:misc_RNA from 1 species